UAGAGAAGGAUCGCUAAUCGCUGGGAAAAUAUUUCCCAGAGGAAAGUCCGGGCACCCAUAUUGAAGGAAACUCCGAAAAGGAGUUAGAGCUAAAGCUCUAGAAGAAAGCACAGAGACUAUACUAUCCAGGUAAUUACCUGGAGGAAAGGUGAAAAGAUGGAGGGUGUCAAAAGAACCUUCUUUUGGCUACCUCCAUACCUUAUGAAGCAAUUCAUAAGGUUGUUUUCUUCUUCCUGGGUGCAAGGCCGUGCCCAGUUUAAACUGGGAGUGCCGCAUGAGCCUCUUGGCAACAAGAGGCCUAGACAGAUGAUUAGCCAAACAGAACCCGGCUUAUGAUCCUUCCUAUUUU
rnacentral:RNase_P_RNA from 1 species